rnacentral:rRNA from 1 species
GAAUAUUGCGCAAUGGGCGAAACCCUGAUCUAGCCAUGCCGCGUGAGUGACGAAGGCCCUAGGGUCGUAAAGCUCUUUCGCCAGGGAAGAUAAUGACGGUACCUGGUAAAGAAGUCCCGGCUAACUCCGUGCCCGCAGCCGCGGUAAUACGGAGGGGACUAGCGUUGGUCGGAAUUACUGGGCGUAAAGCGCGCGUAGGCGGACUAUUAAGUCAGGGGUGAAAUCCCGGGGCUCAACCCCGGAACUGCCUUUGAUACUGGUAGUCUUGAGUUCGAGAGAGGUGAGUGGAAUUCCGAGUGUAGAGGUGAAAUUCGUAGAUAUUCGGAGGAACACCAGUGGCGAAGGCGGCUCACUGGCUCGAUACUGACGCUGAGGUGCGAAAGCGUGGGGAGCAAACAGG